rnacentral:rRNA from 1 species
UACGUAGGGGGCAAGCGUUGUCCGGAUUUAUUGGGAGUAAAGAGUGUGUAGGCGGCUUGAGAGGUAUGAUGUGAAAACUCGAGGCUCAACCUCGAGAUGUCGGCGGAAACCGUCUGGCUAGAGUCCGGAAGAGGAGAGUGGAAUUCCUGGUGUAGCGGUGAAAUGCGCAGAUAUCAGGAAGAACACCUAUGGCGAAGGCAGCUCUCUGGGACGGUACUGACGCUGAGACGCGAAAGCGUGGGGAGCAAACAGG